GUCUCAGAUAGCUUAACUGUCCGAGCCCUUGGUGCGUAACCAAAAGAUCCGGGUUCGAUUCCCGGUCCGGGCU
rnacentral:tRNA from 1 species